rnacentral:rRNA from 1 species
AUUGAACGCUGGCGGCAGGCCUAACACAUGCAAGUCGAGCGGAUGAAGGGAGCUUGCUCCUGGAUUCAGCGGCGGACGGGUGAGUAAUGCCUAGGAAUCUGCCUGGUAGUGGGGGAUAACGUCCGGAAACGGGCGCUAAUACCGCAUACGUCCUGAGGGAGAAAGUGGGGGAUCUUCGGACCUCACGCUAUCAGAUGAGUCUAGGUCGGAUUAGCUAGUUGGUGGGGUAAAGGCCUACCUAGGCGACGAUCCGUAACUGGUCUGAGAGGAUGAUCGGUCACACUGGAACUGAGACACGGUCCAGACUCCUACGGGAGGCAGCAGUGGGGAAUAUUGGACAAUGGGCGAAAGCAUGAUCCAGCCAUGCCGCGUGUGUGGAGAAAGUCUUCGGAUUGUAAAGCACUUUAAGUUGGGAGGAAGGGCAGUAAGUUAAUACCUUGCUGUUUUGACGUUACCAACAGAAUAAGCACCGGCUAACUUCGUG